UGAACCAUUUUCCCAAAAUGCAGAUCUCUUCAAAGUGCAUAAAAGUGAAUUCCCGUAACUAAUCUCUGCCAGAAAAUGAAUUGCAUCUCUUGCAGUCAUGUUGCUGUGUAUCAGGUAGGAUACAACUAUGUUUCAAGAACAAAUAAACCCUGCAAUUUACUGGCUCAAACAAGAUGUGGGUAGAUGGUGGUUCAGCAUGAGUAUUCGUCUUUAAGUGGUUUGUCCCUUUCUCCCUGUGAAGAGGUGAAGAGAAAGCCAUCACGUUCUCCACUAGCCAAUGAA